GGGGUUCAGUCCAGUGUUGUGUUUACCCUUUUCUUUAAUAUUUAUCUGCAAUAAUCUGUAGUUCUAAGUACUUAUUUCCCUGUUUUUUGUUUUCCCACAUUAUUUAUCAUUGAUACACAAUAGGAGAGAGACAGAUAAUAUCUCCUUUCGUCGUUAAUAUCAACCAUAAAGGAAAAGGGCAAAGUACGAGAGUCAUGCUAUUAAUUGUCAGGGAUGGAGAGUUAGUUAGUAAGGUAGGCUGCAGUGGGUUUGCUGGUCAAUACAUAUACUGAACAGGGAUGGAGAGGGAGUUAGUAAGGUAGGCUGCAGUGGGUUUGCUGGUCAAUACAUAUACUGAACAGGGAUGGAGAGGGAGUUAGUAAGGUAGGCUGCAGUGGGUUUGCUGGUCAAUACAUAUACUGUACAGGGAUGGAGAGGGAGUUAGUAAGGUAGGCUGCAGUGGGUUUGCUGGUCAAUACAUAUACUGAACAGGGAUGGAGAGGGAGUUAGUAAGGUAGACUGCAGUGGGUUUGCUGGUCAAUACAUACACUGUACAGGGAUGGAGAGGGAGUUAGUAAGGUAGGCUGCAGUGGGUUUGCUGGUCAAUACAUAUACUGAACAUGUAACCACAGUAAUGGUGGCCAGUAAAUCAAUGAAUAAAAAUGUAAUAUUGACAAAUUCAACAAAUUGUAGACCUUUAGUCUUUUCCAACAUGUCAACAGACACUUAACUUCAGUUAAGUAUGAAACAUUUCACAGUGUUAACUUCCUCUUUAUCCCUGGUUGAUGUACAUGUCAGAGCCUCUUCAGUGUGGAUGGGGAAAAGCAUACAUUUUCAACAACAAAGACAGCACUUCCAGUUUGUGUUCUUCGCUCUGUUGAACUCGUU
ensembl:lncRNA